UAAGGGACCCACCUCAUAGUAGGCCCAGAAGCCGGAUUGCCUGGUGUAGGGGCCAGCAGCUCCUGGUCCAGAGGUGGGAGCUCCUACGCCAUUGUUGGAGGGGUUGGCCAAGACGAAGGUGUGUCCAUAGGUGGGGAAGCCAACCAACAGUUUCUCAGCUGGGGCACCAUUGCUCUUCCAGUAGUUCAUGGCA